GGGGAGCGCCGUGCCGGGAUGCCGGGAUGCCGCCCCACGUGUGGGUGCGGGAGCCGCCGGGAGCCCGUCCUGCCGCGUGGGAUGAGCUUCCCGGGGGCGUGGAGCGCUCGUCUGACGGCUCCGGGGGGGAACGGCACCGUCUCUUCGCCCUGAUCACCCGGUGCUGCCUCGCGGCCGGAUGCUGCACACAGCGCUGCUCCCGGGCUGCACCCAGCGCUGCUCCCGGGCUGCACCCCGCUGUGCUCUCGGAGGGGAGGCGCGGCGCCCCGGGUGCUCAAUGAGCACAAAGUGCUCCCCGUCUGACCGCCGCUCGGUGCGGGCCGUGCCACGAUGCUUUGCAGACGGUUCUCCCUCCGUCCAUCCCGGUCUCUGCAUCCUGAGCUCUCUCCUCCGGUUCCUCUCUCAGCACCACCUGUGGGGGGACCCUGGGGUCACGUUGCUGGGAAAGACCGGCACAGAUUAGAUGUGAGUGUCGAGGAGGUGAGGUGCUUCACCAGCUCUCGAGCUCUGGAGACUUGUUUCCCGGUUUUCUGGUGGUAGUUUACACCCACCCCUGGAGCUGGUUUCCUGCUGACCUUCCAGAUCCAUCUGUGCUGAUGAGAACCCAAGAUUCCUCAUCAGAGGUGGAUCCUCCCAGCACCCCAUCCUGGGGUGAAUGGUGAUUCUGACCAUCUCCUGCCUCAUGCAGGCGGUUAUACCCCACAGGGGCCCAUCUGCUCCUCAAACUUUCUUCUGGAAGAUACCACCAUCCAACCUGCAAAGAACCCAUCUGCACGGCUGCCCUUCUGCAGGAUGGUGGGGAUGAGGAGCUGCUUCCAUUCCCCUUUGGGAAGGACAUUUACCCCCCUCAGGAGAGGACUCCGGAGGGGAUGACGUCCCCUUUGCCAGGUCCUGCAGGAUUUGCCCAGUUUCCUGGGGAAGCUGCUGCUCUGCGCUGUCUGCUUGGCAGUGAGACCAGCGACCAGUCCAGUCUCAGACUGUGCUUUGGGUUGUCAGUUGUGCCCUUCUUGCAGAAUGACUUCAAAGUACGACGUGCCCGGAGGAGUCGUGAACCUUCUGAAAAGAACCAGUUUCUUGGUGCUGCCUCAGUAGCAAUCAACACCCAACUGUUCACCACAGGGACACUGCCGUGAGGAACUAGGUCUUUCCAAGCAGGAUUCCUGCCCUUCAGCACUAGGGAAGGAAUUCCCAGCCUGGCCUCACUCCUUGGGCACGAUGAGGGUGAGACUUCAGUGCUGUCAGCCUCAGAGCUGGAUCCAAGUGUGUCCUCCACGUGCUCUCUUAGAGCUGCUCCUGCUUCAGUUCAAUUAGAAUGUCUGCUGCUCAUUCAUCAUGAUACCGUAUCUGGUUUCCUGCCCCAUUCUGCUGUGGAUAAGGUUGUUGUUUCCUCUUGGUCUGCACACAUGUGACUCUAGGUGUUCACCAUCUGCCUAGUCUGGCACAGCACAGACACUCCAAUUAGCUGUGCAUUUUUGCCAGUGAUGAAUGAGGACUUGUGUGUGCCGCACUCAUAACAAUAUGCACCAGUGGAAGUGCCUCACUGCCACCAUGUUCACUGCUGAAAUGCCACCCACCCUUCACUGUGCUCACAUCCACCGUCAUCUCCAUAAAUGUUCACGAGUGUUGAUGAAUGUUCAUGGGUGCUGUUGUUUCUGCAUGACACACUUCUGCUUCAUAUGGACUUCCAUGCCUGAUGCCAUCUUAUCAGGAUGCCCUUCUGCUGCCAUCUGUCACACAGCAAAAGAAUGUCACAGAAUAUGAGUGGGAAGGCUCACCCUCUACUGCCAUACCAUCAACUUCCACCUCUGAUACUGUGGGCCAAUGUAAUAAGAUAGGAGACAUUAGUUUUGGAGCAGUCCUCAUCUAGAAUCACAGUGUGCUUGAGGCUGGAAGGGACCUUAAAAAUCAUGCAGUUCCAACCUCCUGCCAUAGUCUGGUUGCCCCACAGCAGAUCAAGUUGCCCAGGGCCCCAUCCAACCUGGCCUUGAUUCAGAGCUUCGAGUGUCCUAACAUGGAUGGCGUUUGAACUGCUGACAUUCUGAGAAGGUCCCCAGGGCUUUCUUUAUCCUUUUCUUUUAUUUUCCUUUCUUCUUUUCUUCCUCCCUCACCCCCCAGUUCACUCUUACUAAAGGUAAAUUGCUGAGCUAGCAAUGUUUAGCAAUCUUCCUGAUUAAUCAAAAUUAGUUUAUUUGAAAUGUCUGCAAAUGCAACUAGUCAGAAGGGAAUUUAAUUGUGAAUAUUCUUCGCGGUUGUUGUUUGUAAAUCAUUACAACUGCUCUGCUUCCUUCCUAUCUUUGGAAACACUGAAGUCAUGAUUUUACAAGUUCUGCUCUGUCCUGGCCGCUCAUUCCUGUUUUUGUGGUGGCUUCUCUCCCUUCCACUGCUUUGCUGUAGGCACCUGUGGCACCUGUCUAUGAGGCUAAGACUGGCCCUCAGCCUGAGCACUGUUCUGUCACAGAAUUCCUCUGUCACAUCCAUCUUGUGAAGAAAUUCUUGUAAUCUGAGUUAAAUACAGUUUGAAUGGCCCAGCUAAAACAACGGGGCAGCGUUCCUCAGUGUGCACAGCUCUUGACCUGAUCCCCGUUCCUGGGAUUUGCUCAGCAGUUUUUUUUAUCACAGCAGCUAAUUGAAGAGCAGCAGCUCUCAUACACCACCCGCUUUGCAGCUGUGCAUUUCUGUGCUUCUUAAAUAGUUGUUACACAAAAUGCUUUUGCAGUUUCAAUUCUGACACUGCAUUGCCAGGGUAUAAAGAAGAUCUGGUUUGUCUGAUUGACUGUAGGUGUCUGCACCUGAACUGCUCCCAAUGGGUUCCUUUUGCAGCGAGAGCUUGGCUCACCACUCUGUAAUAUAAAGAACAGAAUGGAUUGUACAGUGAUCACAGGAUUGUGGAAGGGCUGGGUUGGACGGGAUCAUUUAUUCCAACCCCUGCUGUGAGCUGGCUGUCCCCCACCCCCUCAGGUUGCCCAGGGCCCCAUCCAUGGCAUGGGCACCUCCAGGGCAGAGCCAGGGCCUCACCACCAACCUGAAGAGUUCUGAGCAACUUUGUGUAGGAGCAGUUGUACUAAUCAGCAUUUCUUUAUUUUGUCAUCAGUACAAACCAUGAGCAUCUCCUGUGACUUAUUUCUAAAUACUUAACAGAAAUGCUCAGUGUCAACAGCUACCUACAUUUUCAUGUCUAUUGAAUGAGAACUGAACCAUAAUCAUUGCUGGGACAUCUCUGUUACUGAACCGCUGUGUAAAACUCUUCUGUUGCUUUCAGCUUUGCAUUAUCUUUGGUCUUGAGUCAAUUACUUUAACUGAAAUCUAAUUAUAGCAGAGAUUGCAAUGUGAACACUGUCAGUGUCAUUUGUAUUAUUUAUUUACUCACCUCUGCUUUGAUUAUAUCAUUACUUUUCUCUCUAAAAGAAGAAUCUUUAAUGUUUUUGUUAUUAUUUAUUGUGGUUUUGUGUUUUUUUCUUUUAAUUUCCAGUAGGUGCUCCUGACUGAUGAGCUCCCCUGUAUUACUCUCAUUUUCCUUUUUAAAUGUGAGUGACUUGGGAGUGUUAUCAAUACUUACUAUGUAGCAUUUUCAGUUUGGAGCACUUUGCUCUUUAAAGAAAAGUACUGUGCAUAUUUUUGUGAUGGUUGCUCGUAUUUUUAGGAUAUAUGUGUGUAUGAAAGUCAUGUUACUUCAGGUCAGUGAAAGAGCAUAUGCACAUGUACCACUGUGUGAUAUUUGUGUCUAUGUUUAUCCUAUGGGAGGAGCAGGCAGUGUUCAGAAGGCUGUGCUGCCAUCAGCCGCACUGUGGGCCAGCAGCAUGCCCUCGCCGCCAGGAGAGCCAACUGCAUUUUGGGUUGUAUUGAACUCAGCACAGCCUUCUGUCCCGCUGGGUUUGGUGCAGGUGCUGCCACUCUUUGAGCACUGUGCAGCUUUGGGCUCUGCUCCUGAAAAAAGGAGGAAAAUCUCUGUGCUGUAAUGGUGCUCAGGCACCGGAGUGGGCUUCCUGGGGUGAUGGUCAGUGCCCCAUGCCUGUCAGUGCUCGGGAUGCAGAUGGGUGAUGCUUUCAGUGAUAUGCUGUAGCCUUUGGUUAGCCCUGAAGCACUCAGGGCUGGGUGAUCUCUGUAGGUCACUUCCAACAGAAAUAUUUGAAUUCACCUGGCGUGGGUGCAUCUUUCUCUUUAAAAGGCAUUUCCUUACCAUCAUCUCUUGAUAUCCGCUGCCCCACAAAGAGUUCCUUCACUUUGAACGCCAUUAAGUAGACACUUGCGAUCAUGUCACACAGACUUGGUGUGAGUUAAGGCUCCUGUAAUGCUGUGUGUUCAUUUUGAUAAGCACAGUUCAGCUGGCCAGGAAUAGAGAUGCCCAUCCCUUCAGGUUUUCUUUUCGUCUUUGUAGGGAAGGUAGAUAAUGCUAUCUCUGUUUUGAAAGCAGAGACACUUGGGUGCCCAGCAAGGAAGCAAUAGUGAAAGAUAAUCUAAAAUCCAGGACUUGUUGUUGUAAGGACAUAAAUGAGGCACUGUCAGCUUGGCACCAGCUCUUGUCUUCCUAGCGAGCUAUUUGUGGUUCCUGCUUCCUUUUUGAUUGUGGGCUGUUUUUUGUUUCUUUUUGUUUUCAGUUUAAAUCAGGUGAGGUUCAGAUAGCUGUGCCCAACAUGUCACAUUUCAUUCCAGCAUUACCUCAAAGUACCACCUUGUGACAACACACUGUACAGAUUGUUGUUACACUUCCACUUACUUUACCACCCACUUCUGGAUUUUAUCUUUCUGUGCAAAGCCAGUGACAGUGAUAAGAUUUUUUAGGUUUCACAGGCUCAGGUACUCAGGGGCUCAGAUCUCCCUUUGGGGAAAGCUGCUGUUGUGUGCACUCCCUGAAGACCUCACAGGGCUGCACAGUGCACAGGUGGGUGGUGUCUGUUUCUUGGCUGGUUCACACCCUUGCUUACAGACUGCAUCAGUUGAUCAGAAGCAGGGCUGUGCUGGCACUGAUGUUAUGGAGUAAUCUGAGUCCUUGGAUGCAGGUGGAAGUAUGUGGAAGGAUAUGUAAGAUGAUAGAAUUAGUGCAGUGGUGAAUACUGGGUAGGGUUGCAUUUUAACAGCCGAUGUGGACUCUUUAUAUAGUUGAUUUAUACAUUGGGUUCCUUUUAAUGCUCAAUUUUUAGUGGAGAAACAUGCAAGGAUCAUAGAGUGAGAAAUAAACAAGGACAAAUUUGUAUAGGUGCAAAUGGCCUUUAGGAGUGUGGUAAUAGAAGAAUGAAAACAGGGUCCAAGAAGGGUGCCGUUCUUGGGACAUGACCACAUUUUACAGUAAUACAGAUUCCAUUUCAAAUAGCUGUACUUUAAAAAGCCUUCUGGAGUAUGAAAGUGUUCAGAAGAGACAUGUGAAGAGAUUAAAGGUGUAGUUAAUGCUGUUUUGUAGUGGGUGGCCACGAGGACUCACUAUAUUUAGUUUACCCGAGAGAGAUAGAAGGGUUUUGUCCUUGUUUUGGAGAACUUCAGUGAGGAAAAUAGCCGUGUUGUUUUAUGAAGGCACGGGCUCUUGAUCUGAAAUGCGUAUCACAUAGCACUUAGCAUAAAUAGAUAAAUCUGCUCCUAUCCAACCCUUCCUCUGUACCUGUAAGGUCAGGAGGAUGACCUGGGGUCCCUGGUCCUUCACACCUGCCUCAGAAUUGUCUUGAUUUGUUGGGCUCCUGAGUCAAUGCAGCUGUUUGUGGAUGAGGGCAGGGUGGGUUCAAGGCCUGGACAAGCCUUAAUGCUCUCCUGAAACAUUCUGGAUCGGGAUCUGUCAACAACGAACCUCUGGUGACAGCAAAUCUCACAUGCAGGUAUUGCCUUGGUAACUGCAGGUGGGUCUGACAUGGUCUGACCUGCCUUUUUCUCAGGGUGUUAAUGCACGAUCCAGCCCGGGGGGCUCUAAGAUCUCCCUUGGAGCGUGGAGCUCGUUCCUCUGGACUGUUGUUAGCACUGAUUCUGUAAGUUCAGUUGUAAGGGAGAAAAAGCCCUUCUGCUGCCAAAGAUCCCACGUUUCAAGGAGAUUCCAUCCACUGCCUCUCUGAGCGUGGCCUCCAGAUGUUCUGCCUCCCCAUAUGGGAAGAGCUGGGCCCGCUGCUCCCACAUCACUUGUCGCUGCCCGAGCUGCCGAUUCUCAACUAGCAGACUACUGGGGAUGGAUUGUUUUCGCCUUCCCUUUUUCUCUUCCAUCCGAAAGAACGGGUAAAUGUUGUCUGAGGAGGGAAGGAUGUGGAUGUCGAUCCCGCUCCAGCCCGGUGGGCGCCGUGCCGGCCGCAGGGCCGCCCCCGCCCGGCCGUCCGCGCAGAGCUGCGGUGUCGUGCGGUCAGCGCUGCCGGCGGCCACACAGCGGCAGUCUGGGACCGUGAGCGCGGCCUGAGGCGGAGCUCGGAGACUGCGGGAGUCCGCGCCUCCCUCCGCCCAGCGCGGACAGCACGAGGCCUGUAGCGCCCACCGAGGCCUGUAGUGCUCACUGAGCCCUUUGGGUUUGGACCUUUCUUUUGAUUUUCUGUUCAAAAAUAGCGAAAGUGAGGGGAGACAGAGGAGAGAGACGCUGGUUUUGUCACCCAGCUGCUAAUAGCAGAUCUGUACUGAAGGAAGGAGUUGUGGGGAGGACAGACUCCGGGCACAUGGAGGUGUUCGGGUGGGCAAUGUCAUUGUAAAAGCUGAUAUCAAAGCUGAUUAUUUGGGAGACGCUGAAACAUUGUGUCUGAGUGCUUAAAGCAGGCGGAAAAUGAGAAUGGGGAGGAGGAUGGAUGUGGUUAACGGGGAGGGAGGUGCUUGUGUGAAACUGCUCGUGGUCUUUGGGAUGCUGCAGUGCUUUGGGGACUGUUCACCAGGCUCAGUGCUGUGCUGUGUCUCCUCGGCAACAGCAGAGGCACGAGUCUGUUCCCAUGGCAAUAUGCAGAGCGCUUUGCAGGGAAGGCUCUUUGCAGAGCUCAGCAGCGCGGGCUGUGGGCUCCUCUUUGAUUGUACCUGAAGCAAAGGCAGCCCACACGUCAGGUGUCUGAUCCUGGAGCCUCCCAGGAGUCAGCUGUGAAUAGUGGGGUGCUGCCCCUGGCCCCACCAUCUUUGCAGCCCUCCACUGAUCCUCCAAUCAGAUCUUCAGAAGGGCCAGAGUCUGCUCUCCUGAAGUCUAGGGUUGUGACCCUGUUUUCUGCACUGCUCCAUUCACUCAUGUUCCUGAUCACCUCCAUCUCCUGGUCACAGCCAAGGUUGCCCCUGACCUUCACACUGCUCCUCCCUGGCUGCCUGUGCCCUUCUGUGUUGUCCCUUCUUCAGAUACUGGGGUGGUAAAUGUGUCCUAUGAGAAUAAGGGCCUGUAAAUAUGAGGACUGUUCAGGUUGUUUGCCUCUGUGGCAGACUAUAAAACUACCUGUGCUCCUCAGCCUGCUAAUUCUGACCCAUACAGCUGAUGCACCAUUCACAGUCUCAGAAUGGCUGAGGUUGGAAGGGACCUCUGGAGGCCAUCUGCUCCCAGCUCCUGCUCAAGUACUUCACUCCUACCUGUUCUCUUCCAUGCUUUGUCUUUGGGUCCCAGCUGCAGUCAGGAUCCUCAUCAUUUUUAUGCUGGGAGUUUGCUACAGGAUUAGAAACUGCUAGAAACUAUUUUUAUUGCACACAGUCCAGCAGCUGCCAGACACAAUGGAGUCAUUUUCUGAAGGUAUUCUGGGCUCUGGUUUGAAGUAUCAGAGCUGUGUCCCACAAGCAUGCAAGAGGAUCCACAGAACUGGUGGACAGAUAAAUCAAGUUAACAUAUAAAGAGGGAAAUAGCAAAAAACAGAGCCUUUAAAAAGGCCAUAACAAGGAGGGGCUGUAGGCCUAUAGCUGAAGUUUCUGAAGAGGAUUUGUGAUUGAUGAAUUACAGCACUUGUUGGUGUUAAGUGACAUGAUAAGCACAUGGCAAAGCUGUCAUGGAGGGUGUGAGGUCAUCAAAUAUAUGAUGCAUAAAAACUGGAUUUUAGGAUUGGAUUGCAGUGGUGAGAUGUGCAAUGGCAGGAGUUGGACUUCAAUGUCCGUAGGAGGUGGAGAAACUGAAGGAAAAAAAAAAAAGCAUUAAAACAGUUGGAUAAGUGGAAGAGUUGUGACAAAUCAGAUGAAGCAACAAAGGAAGCAGUUACGUUAUAACCAAAUGAAGCUUUUCUAAAUGCCAAUGACUGGUUGUUUUUAUGCUUGCGUUCUUUCUCUUCCAAUAUCCCUCAUCCCUUAUUUCUUAUGAAGGAUUUGCGACGGACUUUCCAUUACAUCAGCUUUAUGCUAUGUUUUUAACUUUGUUUCAUACUUAGACUAGGUGAGUGUCAUACUCCAGAUUAAUGGCUGGGAUCUUCGCUACAGAAAUUUAAAGGAAUAUUUUUCUAUUUUUUGUAUCUUUGAGCUUACAACUUAAAACUGUAAAUCCCUUCCCCUGUACAACGUUAGCAGAUAUUUACUCCUUAGUAUUUGCUAUUGCUUUUACAAGCGGCCUUGCUGUGCAGUGUGUCCAGCUUGUCUGAAGUAUGUGAGCACUGGGGCGACUCUGAGGAAUGAAGCAUGCUUGCUUCCCAAGAGAGAGCAGGGCAGUCCAAAUUCCCCACAAGCACGUUGUUUCUAUGGUUUCAAGUUGCAGGCUGAGUAUAAAUUGGUCAGGAAACAGGUGCUGAUGAUGGGGUGUGCAGCAAAGGAACUUGGUAGCCAUUCAAAACAAGCACAGCAAGACAGCUGCUGUGCUGGGUCCGCUGCCCGUCAUGGAGACUGCUGCUCUCCCUUUGCACACUCUUGCUAUUUCCAUCUACUAACUUCAUUUGUAAACUGCAAAGGCCAGAGACCAUGCUGCUUUUAUCUGUACCACCAAGAAAUCUUGGGCCAGAGUCACAGCUGAUUACCAUGAGUGUGAAAACUGUGACAAUUAUGUGAUAUAACCUACAGCAGGUAGCUCUUCUCCUCGCAGUUCACAUAGAAACACCUCUAUCUGAGCCUUACCGGCUAAUUGUUAGCAAAAGCAAUGUAAAUUAUUCAUUUUGCAAAGCACUGCACACCAGAAGGAUUCCACUAAUGCUUCUUCUAACCCCAGCAUUUUUGAGGUCUACUACAACUAACUUGUGCCAUCAUUUAUGUUCCUCGUCCCCUUGGGAGCAUAGGCAGCGUGUUACUAUACGGCUUAGUGACCUCAUUGCCAAAUGGAGUUUGUUGCUGUGAGCUGCUGCCUGCCAACAUGUCGUGCCUAUUAUAAGGAGGGAAACCACUGCCUGGUGCUGCAGGCGGCAGUUUGCUGCUUUUGCAGCACUGGGUUGCUCAAAAAAAAAAAAAGGCUCAUCUGAAAGCACGUUGUCCAGCUACAGCCUGAGCACUGCAAUCGUGUCACUGUGCCAUGAGCAGCUGUGCCCGGCAUUUCUGUAUUCCUGACUUCAAGUGUAUUUAUAUACCAGGAGAACAGAAAGCUGGAAGGUUUAGAAAAUGUCCUACCUGCUGCUAUAGGCGUAUCGCAGCUCCUUCACUUCCACUGCUGUCUUGUGUUUUUCCAGCCAAAAUCUCCUAAUAUUUUAAUGGUCAUUUGGGUUUUUUUUUUUGUCUUUUGACCCAAAUGGCUGUGAAAGUUUCCCCAUGUCUCCUCCUACAUCUUUGAAGAUGGUAAAAAAAAUGAAAGAAAGAAAGAAAAAACCCAACAAAUAGACAAAAAGCUGCAUAGAACAGCCCAGAGCUGCUGGCAGCUCCUUGUCUUCCACCCAUCCUUAUCGUAUUUGUGACAUUUUGCUUAUAACCGUUCACCUAAGUUUUAUUUUGCUUGGACACUGUGCGCUGUAUGUUCACAGUCAGGAUUUCAGGCACAUUUCCCUGCAAUACAUUUAAGUUUCUUUUGCUGUUUUACCACUGGCUGCCGUUUCUGGAAGCCGUUGAUGUCUGCUGUGAUAAUGUCCUGUUCGAGAUUAGGAUUUACUUUUCUCAAGGGAAAUCUUUUCAUACUUUUGUGAUUAUUUUGCCAAAUAAAAUAAUUUAAAAAGUCA